UAAUAGAACACAGAAUGUAUAUCAGAACCAAUAUCAAAUCAUUUAUACAAGAAUGUAAAAGCAUAUAGAGCAAUGAUAUCAAGAUUUUUAGCCACCCUUACUAAAUAUAAAAAUAAGGAGAUAUGGUAUGAUUUAAUCUGGUUUAUCUAUAUGCAUAAGAAUAUAAUAUGAAUUAUAAUAUAAUUUCAGGAUUUUGUCCAAUUACUACCAAUUGACCAGAUAUAAUGAUUCAUGUAGAUUUUAUUUAUACAUUUAACAUAUCACAAGGUUUUAAAGGAAAAACAACUAUCUUUAUUUAUAUAUAAUUAUACAUUCACAGUUUUUUUCAUGUAAAUUUGAAGCAUUUAUAGUACGCCUAGCCUGAUUGGCCAGUAUGAGUGUUACACCUAGCCUGAUUGGCCAGUAUGAGUGUUUAUAAUCACUUUGUAUCCAUUAUCCAUCUCUAGAUCGUACAUACUCAUUGUCAUCCCUCAUGCAGAUUUAAAGGCGAUAUUAAGUAAAUAGUUGUAACUUUGAGUACUUAAGUGAGAUUAAGAGUACAUUUUGUUCAGUUUACUCACACUCUAAUAGUUUUUGCAGCCAUUAGGCAUUCAAAUGACAGUGUGAUGUUGAGGUUGAAUUUUGUUUAGAAUUGUAAAAUAGUUGGCUACAGAUCUCUUUCUUUCGAUCUUAAUACAAUUUCCUAAUCUAAGGGAAAUGAUUUUUUCCACUUUGAAGAAAAUAAACUUGAAACUUGUGUUAAUACUAUGCAUAGAUUCCAGAAUGACUAUACAAGCUCCUUAGAGCUCCCACUCUUGUUUGUUAUGUUGUUUGUUUUUUUAGUAUGAAUUCUCAAUAGUUUUUGAUUACCUAUGCAAUCUUGAUUAUUAUGCAGUUAAUUUGUGCCAUGCUACUUAACAUUUUCCAGAAACAAAAAUGCUGCUGAAAAAUAUAGUCAGAUAUGCAAAUUAGCAGCUAAUAAAAUACAUACUGUAGAUUCAGACAUUUUUGUGAAUUUUUUCAUUCUUGCAACAAGAUCGGUAUUGUGAGAAUAAAAAGUUGCAUUUUUAAAUCUGAUAAAAUUAAUUGUAUGCAUUAUUACUAAAGUCAAUUUGUUUUCUUUGUUUAACAAUCAUAUUUUUAAAUGCAUGCAAUAAAUUCUUAAUUUGCAGUAAACAGAAAAAUAUAAGAUAUAUCUAUUAGUAUGCUAUUCCUCCUACAUCCCACCAUUCCUCUUUAUAUACUUUCAUAAUUAACUUUUGUUGUUUGUAUUAUGUAUUAUGAUCCCAAAUAGGGUAAUUUUUAGGUGUUAUCUUAACACAUUUACCAAACUUCUAGUUUGUUACUGCUGUGAAACCAUUUGAUUACAAGUGUAUGUCAAGAAGAACUAAUAACCAUUUAUGUUUGAUUUGUUGUUGCAUUUUCAUCCUGGCAUUUCUCUUUUCUAUAUUAUAUUUGACAAGGUGCUGUCUCUUAGUCAUACUUUAGUAACUUGGGAAUUGACUAUCGUUUUCUGAAUAAGUGUGAUUGUAAACACGUACUUUUAUUAGACCAUUGAUAUUUGAAUUGCUGUUGCAAUAGCAUACAUUUGUUUUGGUGAUGAUCAGAAUUUUUGGAAAGGAGUAUGUUCGGUAAGGUCCUAAAAUGGCCCCCUUUUUUAGCGUAAAUUUCAACUUCAGAUUUAUUGACCAAUAUCACUUUCAAUCAUAGCUAAUACAGUGACAACUAGAUAGGAAAUAAGCCAUUUUGUUGAAAAAUUUUACGUUUCUGCCUUUCAUUACGACGUCACAAGUUGUACUCAUAUUGAUUUUUCACGAAAAAAAUCAAUGAAAAUGGGUAAAUUUCAAUAGAUUAUUGGACAGGAAACAUAGAGUGCAUACGUCGACAACAAAGAUCUUUUUAAAUAAUGUUUGUGAAGACCUUUCACAUGUCUUAUUUGAAUAAGUUUGCACACUAUGUUUCCUGGUCCUUAAUUUGGUUAAAAUUCUGCUGAUUUUGUCAAAUUUCACCAAAAUCCCUUAUCUUGACCUUUUUGGGAUGUAACUUCAACGUGUUAGAAUUAAACUUUGACACAAAUAAUUCUGAUUAACUUUCUCACAUGUCUUUAAGGCAACUUAAAACAUUUAUUGUCUUGUAACUAUGAACUUUAUUAUUGGGGCCAAAUAUGGUCCUUAUCCAACCUACCCUUUACUCUUUAUUCAUUCUUUUUUUUCAUACUUUUUUAAUUGUAAGAAUUUUGUUUACUUUGUUUUGUCAUUAGGUUAUGAAUUAGCAUUAUCUCUAUAUGCUCCACUGUUAUUUAAUCAUAAUGAUCUAUUUAAAGUAUUAUUGUACUGUACUGUGUAGUCUUAUAAUAUUGGUGGGUACCAAUUUUUGUGGUUACUUGAUUUCAUAGUGUUUAAUGGUAUCUGUAUUGCAUUAAUUUAGGAAAUAUGGUAUUCGUUGAAUAUUAUCCAUAGUUCACAAUACACAUGAAAUUCUAAAAAAUUAGUACUCCAUGAAUAAAACUGAGUUCACAGUACUUUGGUUUAAAUUGAUUUUUUACGUCUUUGAAUAUGUAGAAUUUAUGUGUUAUUAUGGUUUGAAUUUGACUUGGCAAAGAUGUUGUAACUUUGUUAGCAUGAAAAUCUUGUUUGUUUUUUAUUGAUAUGAUGAGUGAUUAUAUUGUAUGAUAUAGGAAAAUGAAUUUUAAUUGUUUAAAAUCAGUACAGAAAGUUAGGCCUUUGUGCUGAGAAAUUUGGCAAAGAUGUUGUAACUUUGCUAGCAUGAAAAUCUUGUUUGUUUUUUAUUGAUAUGAUGAGUGAUUAUAUUGUAUGAUAUAGGAAAAUGGAUUUUAAUUAUUUAAAAUCAGUACAGAAAGUUAGGCCUUGGUGCUGAGAAAUUUGGCAAAGAUGUUGUAACUUUGUUAGCAUGAAAAUCUUGUUUGUUUUUUAUUGAUAUGAUGAGUGAUUAUAUUGUAUGAUAUAGGAAAAUGGAUUUUAAUUAUUUAAAAUCAGUACAGAAAGUUAGGCCUUGGUGCUGAGAAAUUUGGCAAAGCUAUUGAUGUGGAUUAUGUAUGCUUAUUGUUGACAUUGUUUUAAUACAUAUUGUUUUUGAAUUAAAAGUUUUUUCAUGAUUUCAACACAAUUAUUGAUACUUUGUGUAUACACACAACAUUUUAAAAAGUAAUCUUUAGUCAAAUAAAGAGUAUUACAGCUACUCAGAUCAUAUCACAUGAUUUAGAUUAUUGAUAUGUUACGUGUCAGAUAUCACAUGAAAAAAAAUAUCCAAACUUCUGUACAACUGUACAAACAUAGUUAUCUUUAGGUAAAAAAAUCUUUUCAUAUACUAUUGUAAUGGUAGAUAAUCCAAGAGUACUAUAAAA
rnacentral:lncRNA from 1 species